rnacentral:rRNA from 1 species
GAUGGUUCUGCUAUCACUCUUGGAUGGACCUGCGGUGCAUUAGCUAGUUGGUAAGGUAACGGCUUACCAAGGCAAUGAUGCAUAGCCGAGUUGAGAGACUGAUCGGCCACAUUGGGACUGAGACACGGCCCAAACUCCUACGGGAGGCAGCAGUAGGGAAUCUUCCACAAUGGACGAAAGUCUGAUGGAGCAACGCCGCGUGAGUGAAGAAGGGUUUCGGCUCGUAAAGCUCUGUUGGUAGUGAAGAAAGAUAGAGGUAGUAACUGGCCUUUAUUUGACGGUAAUUACUUAGAAAGUCACGGCUAACUACGUGCCAGCAGCCGCGGUAAUACGUAGGUGGCAAGCGUUGUCCGGAUUUAUUGGGCGUAAAGCGAGUGCAGGCGGUUCAAUAAGUCUGAUGUGAAAGCCUUCGGCUCAACCGGAGAAUUGCAUCAGAAACUGUUGAACUUGAGUGCAGAAGAGGAGAGUGGAACUCCAUGUGUAGCGGUGGAAUGCGUAGAUAUAUGGAAGAACACCAGUGGCGAAGGCGGCUCUCUGGUCUGCAACUGACGCUGAGGCUCGAAAGCAUGGGUAGCGAACAGGAUUAGAUACCCUGGUAGUCCAUGCCGUAAACGAUGAGUGCUAAGUGUUGGGAGGUUUCCGCCUCUCA